rnacentral:tRNA from 1 species
GUGGGGUUGUGACUCAGUGGAAGAGUGCUUGCCUAGCAUGUGUGAGGCACUGGGUUCAAUCCUUAGCACCACA